rnacentral:rRNA from 1 species
UAAACCUCUUUUAGUAGGGAAGAAGCGAAAGUGACGGUACCUGCAGAAAAAGCACCGGCUAACUACGUGCCAGCAGCCGCGGUAAUACGUAGGGUGCAAGCGUUGUCCGGAAUUAUUGGGCGUAAAGAGCUCGUAGGCGGUUUGUCGCGUCUGCUGUGAAAUCCCGAGGCUCAACCUCGGGCUUGCAGUGGGUACGGGCAGACUAGAGUGCGGUAGGGGAGAUUGGAAUUCCUGGUGUAGCGGUGGAAUGCGCAGAUAUCAGGAGGAACACCGAUGGCGAAGGCAGAUCUCUGGGCCGUAACUGACGCUGAGGAGCGAAAGCAUGGGGAGCGAACAGGAUUAGAUACCCUGGUAGUCCAUGCCGUAAACGUUGGGCGCUAGAUGUAGGGGCCUUUCCACGGUUUCUGUGUCGUAGCUAACGCAUUAAGCGCCCCGCCUGGGGAGUACGGCCGCAAGGCUAAAACUCAAAGGAAUUGACGGGGGCCCGCACAAGCGGCGGAGCAUGCGGAUUAAUUCGAUGCAACGCGAAGAACCUUACCAAGGCUUGACAUACACCGGAAACGGCCAGAGAUGGUCGCCCCCUUGUGGUCGGUGUACAGGUGGUGCAUGGUUGUCGUCAGCUCGUGUCGUGAGAUGUUGGGUUAAGUCCCGCAACGAGCGCAACCCUCGUUCUAUGUUGCCAGCGGGUCAUGCCGGGGACUCAUAGGAGACUGCCGGGGUCAACUCGGAGGAAGGUGGGGAUGACGUCAAAUCAUCAUGCCCCUUAUGUCUUGGGCUUCACGCAUGCUACAAUGGCCGGUACAAAGGGCUGCGAUACCGUAAGGUGGAGCGAAUCCCAAAAAGCCGGUCUCAGUUCGGAUUGAGGUCUGCAACUCGACCUCAUGAAGUCGGAGUCGCUAGUAAUCGCAGAUCAGCAACGCUGCGGUGAAUACGUUCCCGGGCCUUGUACACACCGCCCGUCAAGUCAUGAAAGUCGGUAACACCCGAAGCCGG